CACAGCAAUAAUACGGGCCUGCCUUUAC
rnacentral:sRNA from 1 species